rnacentral:rRNA from 1 species
ACCAAUAGCGAUAUCCCAUUGAAUAAACCAGUUCCCAACGAGUCACUAACGUUGAGCAACGUUGCACGUGGUUGAUAUCCGAAUGGGUGACCAUCUGGACAAUCGCGUGCUGCUGGCU